CCGCUGCUGCUUGCGCUGGGCUGUCAAUGAGUGUGAGCCAUUCCCUGCUGUGUGUGUGUGUGUGUCUGAGCGUGUGCGCGUGCCUGUGUGUGUGUGUGCCUGUGUGCGUGUGCCUGUGCGCGUGUGUGUGCGCGUGUGUGCCUUUAUGUGAUAGCCAAUGUCUUCGAUCUCACAGGAAGUGGAAUUGAACUCUGAGUUGAGAAUGAUGAGCAGCUCCAGGGAAGUCAUCCCAGCCUCUCAGCAGGCUAUUUCCCAUCAGGAUGAACAGGUCACACAUGAAGAAAACUUGGCCUCCAGUUAUGAAAACAACCAUAACAAUGAAGCAGAGGAGGAAGGUCCUAGACUUACAACCAAGGAAUUGAGAGAUCAUUUUGAGAGAACCAUCGAGGAAGCUACCCCAAGCAAGCCAAUGAAGGUAAUUGGACAUGCUUGUCUUAAACCCGUUUUACUUAAGUGGACAGAAACUGCAUCAUUUUGGCUUAGGUUACACACAAACCCUUCUGCUUUUUAUCACCAUUGUCAAACAAGUU
rnacentral:lncRNA from 1 species